UGGGAGGAUCUGAUGACCAUAGCCUGUCU
rnacentral:piRNA from 1 species